rnacentral:rRNA from 1 species
UACGGGGGGGGCAAGCGUUGUUCGGAAUUACUGGGCGUAAAGGGCUCGUAGGCGGCCAACUAAGUCAGACGUGAAAUCCCUCGGCUUAACCGGGGAACUGCAUCUGAUACUGGAUGGCUUGAGUUCGGGAGAGGGAUGCGGAAUUCCAGGUGUAGCGGUGAAAUGCGCAGAUAUCUGGAGGAACACCGGUGGCGAAGGCGGGUCUCUGGGCCGAUACUGACGCUGAGGAGCGAAAGCGUGGGGAGCGAACAGG